UUUUUAAUGUAAAAGAUGGGAUUGUCAGUCAGUUACAACGUAAUGGGAUCAUCUUUGUCAUCUUGCUCUUGUCUGGAUGUAGCUGCAUAUUUUCUACUCUGCACUUAAGACCUUCAGAGUCAAUAGUUUCAGUAACUCCAGUGGACAUGCUCCCAGAGGGUUACCACGAAGAUCUGCAAGAGAUGAACAGGAAACUCGAAUACCUUUGGCCCAACUUUGCUUCCCCAUCGGGGAAUCGAACCCCGGUCUCCCGCGUGACAGGCGGGGAUACUCACCACUAUACUAACGAGGAGAUUUGAGAGCAACAGACCAUGUAGAUUCUUUGGGAUGCCUUUGCAACAAGAACCUAUAGGCCCAAACAUU